CCACUUUCGUCUGCCACCUGUUGUGAUGGGUCCAGCGACACCGAUGCGUUGACGCAUGCGUCGGGCUCACGGAGCAAUCCACAUGUCGGUGCGUGUGCUGCUUCAUGAGAUCACGUGAUCAACACGCGAACUGCGUCG